rnacentral:misc_RNA from 1 species
AAAAAAAAAGAAAAAGCCCAUACCUUCUCUGGUUCUAUCCAUCCAAAUGAAACCCUAGAUUUUCACCCAUUCCACGCCAUGCAUCCAUGAUUCUUCCCUGAACACCAACCCUUAUCGUCGCCGAGGAGGAGAUCGUCGUCUUUGUCAUGUAUAAAGACCGAGGGAUUGGUGGCUCCAAGACGGAGGUGGGACCUGUCGCUCGGAAGCGGAUCAACGAUGCCCUUGAUAAGCAUCUCGAGCGAUCUUCUCCCUCUACUUCCAGAACAAUCAACGGCAAGGAAUUUUCGUCUCAGUCUCUUCUCAUGGGGAAGCAACC